GUCCCGAGUCCGGAGGCUCGGAAGUGUCAGCCCGGCCGCCGGGGCUUUGUCUGGACGGGUUGGGGGCAGGAAGCCUCCAGUGGAGACCGCUCGGGCGGCUGGAGAGAGGGUCUGCGGGCGCGGUGGAGGGUGGUACCCAGGAGAAGGGCCGCGACGCUGGCCCGUUUGCUUUUCAAGCUGGCCCGGCUCUUUUGUGUAAAGAACAGCUCUUGAGUCCAGGGGAGAGGGCUUUGGGGGUCCCUUUCGGGGCAUUCGAACGAUCUGCUGUCCUUGUCCUUGUCCUGCCCCAGAGGGGAAUUCUAGCGGGGAAGCAAGAGCGAAGGACCAGAGCCCCUGGGUGGGAGAAGUGAAAGUUUUCUGCGGUGUCAAACCCUUCUUGAAAGUGUGUCAGUUCCUGCCGCUGUCUAACUCCAGCUUACUCUCAGUUUGGGGGUGGUUCAAGUUGGUGAGGAAGUGAGCAGAGAGCUCCAGUUGGCAGCCAGGCAGGGACGCUGAAAAAAGUUUGUAGCUGCUCUGACAUCAACUUUAAAAACAAAAUCAACACUAUCGCCUCUCCAGGCAGGAGAGAUCAAACAUAAUGUUGUAGCUGGGGAACGAGCCAGCUAGCUCACCAAGGUGCUGGUAGGAACCAGAGCUUUCAGGUCACGGAAGGAGCGCGUCGAAAGAAACAAGUGGAAUGUGUCGGAUAGUCAGUACUAUCAUGCUAAAAUUGUGUGGUUUCUUAGAUAUCUACAUUUUUGUCAUGGGACUAUAUUACAAAACGUGAAUGAACGCCAUCGUUAUCAUGCAGUUGCAAAAAUGACGUUUGAAGAACCUGGUGAUUGAAUUAAAAAGGGUCAUAGAUCUUGAAAUUUUACUAAGCACAGAUAUUUAUUCCUGUAAAGGAAUUGACACUUUUGUUUUACCAUGAGAUUGUUUCUGAAUUCAGAGAAGACUAUACUGCUUCUGUCUAAAGGAGGUAGACUUGCUAGGUAAUUCGGCUGGAAAAUGCUGUUCAUUUAAAAUGUACCUUUAAUUCCACACCAUUUUGUGGUUCUUACCGGGGUGGGGGGGGAGGGAAGCAAUAUUUUAUGUUCAGUAGGGGUCUGCAAGAUCGCUGUUUGUGUGUGCUUUUUCUCUUUGUGUUUUACACUGUUUUGACACUAUCAGAAUGAAUCUAGGCAGAGACAACAGGAAUAUUUUACCAUACCACUCUGAAAUAUUUUUAUUAUAUCUUUGAAAAUAGUUUUGGCUUUUAUUUGAUAAAAAUUUGGACAUUAUUUUUAGAACUGUCCUAUUUAAUGGACUAUUUUGGGGGUUUACAGAUCUCUUAGGUUGAAAUAAGAAGCCUAAAUCUGAAAGUUGUGCAAACUAUUGAGAAUAAGUACUUUGAAGACGAGGCUUUCUGUGGAAACUUUCCAAACAUGUUCAAGCUUCUUGACCUACUGAUGCUAUCCCGUAUUUUAAAAUAAAACUAAAUUUAAGAAAAGAUCUGUUCUCUACAUUUAAGGACAAAGAAAAUAUUUAGAGUUAAGCAUUUAAUUGUAUCAUGCUAUGAAUGCCUGGUCUAUUAGAGCAGUGUCUAACUCAUCUGAAGCAAUUAGCUCAUUUAUCACUGAUCAGUUUGUGGUCCCAUUUUUGAAUUCAUGGAUAUCAUGCUGUCCUUACCCCCUGAGGAAUAAGGUGAGGUAAUUUGUCAAGCAGCUGUUAUAGAGAUGUUAAAAGGCUAGGAAUCAAUAAUCUAAUGAGGAAAUGAACAUUUGGUAGCUUUUAAAUUACUAGAAGAAUGAAAGAUAUGAGAGCUCUUUGUAGAAGGGUACUAAUGAAACUUUGUUUCAAAGAUCCUUUUAAAAUGUUUUAAAGCACCAUAAAUAAGGGUCUACCGAAGAUUUGCUUUGAAAUGUUUGUUUUUCAGUCUUAAGAAGAUUUAUGUUAUGGCUCUAGUAGAUUAUGGAGUGAUCUAAUUGCUUUCUCUGAAAGAUUUUUUAGAGGCUUACUGCUCUUAACAUAGAGAUUGGACCUUUAAAAGAUGCUAAAUUAUAAUUAUGAAUUUAUUAAGCUUAUGGACUACAUAUUUAUUAAGCAGGCUGUAUAUUUCUUUGUUGUAUAUUUCUGGUUAGCUCAUCUCCAGUUUUGUAGGAAUUUAGCACUCCUGGUUUAUCCAUUCUGGAGUACUUCAAGGCACUCUCUUAGUCUAUGGGGUCUGUAACAGACAUUUACCAGUGUCUGUAAAGUCUUGAUGCAAAGUGGGGUUACCCAUGUUGUUGCUUUAGCAGACCCUUAUUUUUGUAGGAAGAAAUGUAUUCCUGUUUGUAACAUCUAUAAUUGAGGAGUUUCUCCUUUUUCUGCUUUUGUGCCAUGUUCUUAACUAUACCUGAUGCCUGUUUUUCCCUCUUUUCCCUGUUUUUAGAUUAUUUCAUUCACUAUGUCCAGAGACAUUUUAUUUGCUUUAAAAAGUCAUAGUAGUUUGCGUUUUUCUUAUAGUUUUGUCUUUUUCCCAAGUAGUGUAUGCAUAGGAUGAGUGAUAAAUAUACAUUCUGCAGAUUAUUAGAAUUUUUUUUCUCUUUUUUUAGUGUUAAAAGCCUUUUUUUUUUUUUUGACAUGUAAAAGAUUGCACUUAGUGUAUAUAACUCUAUGAGUUUGGAGGUUAAAUAUGUAUUUGUGAAACCAUCAAUACUGUAGAGCUAUCCAUCAUUCCUAAAGUUUUCCGGUCCCUUUUAUUAUGAAUGUCUUAUUAGUAUUAUUUUUGUGGCAAGAACACUUGAUAUAAAAUCUACCCUCUUAGGAAAUUUUAAGCAUGCAAUACAGUAUUCUUAGAUCGUAGACACUACGUUAUGUAGAUCUCCAGAACUUAUUUAUCUGGCAUAAGUCAUACUUUAUUGCCUCCCCCAAGACCCUGGCAAUCACCCUUCUACUCUCUGCUUCUGUGAAUUUGCUAGUUUAGAUUCCACAUAUAAGUGAGAUGAUAUGGUAUUUAUCUUUCUGGGACUGGCUUAUAUUAUUUAGUGUAAUAUCCUCUAGGUGCAUCUGUGUUGUUAUAAGUGAUGAGAUUCCCUUCUUCGGCUUAAUAGUAUUCCAUUGGGCAUGCACACAUGUACACCAUGUUUCCUACAUUCAUCUCUUGUUGGACAUUUAGAUUGUUUCCAUAUCUUAGCUAUUAUGAAUAAUGCUACUGUGAACAUGAGAGUGUAGAUGUCCCCUUGAAAGCCUAAUUUCAAUUCCUUUGGAUAAAUACCCAGAAGUGGGAUUGCUGGAUCAUAUGGUAGAGUUCUAUUUUUAUUUGUUUGAGGUACCUUCAUACUAUUUUCCAUAGUGGCUGCACCAUUUUGCAUUUCUACUGACAUGUACGAGGAUUCCCUUUUUUCUACCUCUCCCCAAUAUUUGUUGUCUCUUGUCUUUUUGACAAGAGCCAUCUUGACAGGUAUGAGGUGACACCUCAUUGUGGUUUUGAUUUGCAUUUCCCUGAUGAUUGAGCACCUUUUCAUAUACCUGAGUGGUGUCUAUUUAGCUAGGACCUUUUUUUCUCUAAUGCCCAGGAUGGAGUGCAGUGGCACAAUCGUAGUUCACUGAAGCCUUAAAAUCCUGCCUUGCUUAUUAAAAAAAUUUUUUUUCCUCUGGAGUUGUAGGAGUACCCUGUGUAUUUUGGAAAUUAACUGCUUAUCAGAUACGCAGUUUGUAGAUUUUUCUCCUAUUUCGUAGGUUGCCUUUGUGCCUACACUUUUAAAUUUUCUUAUUUUUUUUCCUCCCUUAUCAUUACCCACAAUGCCCACACUUUUAAAAUGUCAGGUUGUCUUUUAGUGCUAUGCAGUUAGAUGUAAUUACUCCUGUACACUGUGGCUUUUUUUUUUUUUUUCUCCAAGCUUGCAUAAAGCUUGACCUCUUUUAGGUCAGUUAAUCUGGCCUUCAGUCAUUAAGUGUUUAUUUGCUCCACCUAAGUGUCACUCCCAGUAAACAAUCUAAUACUGUAUUCACAAAACUGAAGAGCAAUCUUUGAAAAAUAUUUCAACUAUUUUUUUCUACUUCUCCUUGUUAGAUCUGUUUGCUGGUAUUUCUGGCUUUGUAACAGGUUUUUGGGCUUUUUGAGAUGGUCAUUGACUCUUGAGUCCCGAUCUUACUUGUGAGAUCAAAAUAAAUAUUUUGAGUAACUUUAGAAGUAAAAUGCUUACUUUAUUUUUAAUUUUAAAAAUCCUUAGAUCCUUCUUUAGUAUUCUCUUUUAUCACCCUGUACUUUUCCUUUUCCAACACUCAUGCAUUUGCCAACAUAACAAAGCAGAGUGGUUGAAGUUGAGGGUUAAAGAAGUAAAAGAAGUCUCAGAGGGAAAGCUCAUAAGGUAUAUAACUCUCAGAUGAGCAGGGGAAAAUAUAAGUUCCUCAGAACAGAGCACUUUUUUCCUUAUCCUGUAGCAGAUUCACAUGGAGUACAGUAUAGGUAAUAUUGUAACAUAACAAUGUCCCCUGCCACAAUUUUGAAGCAAAGCAGUGGUGGAAUUCAUAGCAUUGCUCUGGUAGCCAAGUGAAAAUGCAGCUUAAAUUCAGUUACUGGCUAUUUCUGUAGUCCAGAUAUAUACACUUCUGUUGUUUAGGUCAUGGAUGAAACUUAUAAAGCCUAUAGAAGUGAAUACAUAUUAAUUCCUUAAAUCAUUUUCCCUGGCAAGUAGUCUUUUAAACCAUCCUUUGGUAGGUGUUUUAUUGCAUGUCUCCUAAAUACCUAAUUAUAGAUAAACUCAUAACUUCUGGAAACCAGCUGGACAAGUGGUAGAAUUACUACUUGUUAUGAGAACUGAGAAGCCCAAUCAGUGUUUGCACCUGAAUGCAGAGUGAUCCUGUCAAUUCAAGGAUCUAAGUGCCAUAUUACUUUGAAUGAUAUGUUUGGCAUUUCUUUUAGGACAUACACAAUGAAGUUUCAUUUGUUUGUAUUAUCUGUUUCAUUUGUGUGCAUAAUCAGCUUGAGUGGAUUUCUUUAUACUUAGGUUUUUGGUCUUGCAAUAGGAAUGUUUUGUACUUCUUUUAUGCCUCUUCUCUGGAGAGGGGAGAGGGAUUCUAUGAAAAAUGAAUUAGUAAAAAGCAUUGAGAAUUUUUGGAUAAAAAGUUAUAUGGAAGUACAAAGUUGAGAGGGAAAUCAUAUAUGUGUUAACUUAAUUUAAAUAUAUAUAUAUAUAUAUAUAUUUGCAGUAAGUAUUGUAGUUUUAUCUGGAGGUAGGAUAUAUGCCUUUGGUUAAAGUCUUUCUCUCCUAAACUCUUCUAUUAGAGUAGGCCGUGAGCUCCAUGAAGGCAAGCACUAUAUUUUAUUUUCCCCCUAACUGCUGUAUUCCCAGAGCCCAAAUACAGCUCCUGACACAAUGCCGAAAAUGCUCAGUAAAUGUCUGUUAAAUGAAUGAAUGAAUAGCUUAUCGAUGAGCUGAUCCAUUUUGAGAGUAUCAUGGUUAUAGGACUUUGUGAUAGAGGAAAAAUAAAACACAGUUUUUACCCUCAGUACUGUAAGUGUGCACAUAAUAUGCAUAUGAGAAGUUAUUAAGGUAAAUUGGUUCAGAGUAGGUGCCAGAUGAAUGACAUAGAUACUUAGAAUGGUAAGACUUCUAGUCCUCUACUCGCUGAAUGUUUUGGUGGAACUCUUUUUUUUUAUGUGUUCUUUAAAGACAGGCUAUUAUGUUGACAGCUGUAUCCUCAGCACCUAGAACAGUGUGUGCCAGUCAGUGCCCAAUUAAUUAAUACUUUUUCUUUUUUUUUUGAGGUGGAGUCUCUCUCUGUUGCCCAGGAUGGAGUACAGUGGCUCCAUCUCAGCUCACUGCAGCCUCUGCUUCCCAGGCUCAGGUGUUUCUCCAACUUAAGCUUCCCAAGUAGCUGGGACUGCAGGUGUGCAUUAGCACACCUGCCAAUUUUUCUAUUUUUUUACAGAGACAGGGUCUUGCCAUUUUACACAGGUUGGGCUCGAGUCCUGAGCUCAAACAAUCCGCCCACCUCAGCCUCCCAGUUUUGAGAUUACAGGUGUGAGCCACUAUGCCUGGCCAAAAACAUCCUUUAAAGUCCACAUCAUUUAUGAUGUCUUCCUUCGUCUCUGCUAGCUAGCAGUUAUAGUUUGUUUUUUGCUUUCAGAGAAUUAGGUAUUACUGUAAUAGUUUUUUUUUUUUUUUUAACAACUGCUUUCCAUGUCUUAUGUACACAGUAGGUCCUCAAUAAAUGUUAGUUAAUUGAAAUUAUUUCCUUUAUGCGUGGGAUACUUUUCUUACUCGUGGAUUAUAAUCACUCUGACACAGAUUGCUAAAUGGCUGUGGGUAGAUUGCAUAAUCUCUUAAAUAUCUUUGUCAUGAAACUGGUAACGCCUUCCCUCAAAGGGUUAGGUUAUCAUUAGCUAGUAAAAUGCUUUGAAGAUGAAAAAGUUAAGGUUGAGCAUUAUGACUGUCCUAUUAAGGGUGAAUUAUUAGUAUCAGGUUUGUAGGUAGAAGCUUUCCCAAAGCUUGAAGUUAAUUAAAUGGUGAAGUAAUUAUUUUGUAGCUGUUUACAUCAUGGUUGCUUGCUUUACUUAAAUCCCUAGAUUUCUUUGGAGGGAAGGAGUCUUUGGUAAUGCUCUUUAUCCUGAGGUCACUGUCAUAGAGCCAAAUCAAGAUUGAAACCCUCCCGUGACAAAAAGAUAAAUAUGCCAGUACAUUGCAGCAGUUAGGAUGAUGUGCUUUGUAUUAUACUUGAAGUAUGUUACACGCCAGAGGUCCUCAGACUUUUGUGUACUAAGAAUCAUUUGGAAGCCCUCAUUAAAAAUGUUUCACCUCCAGAGAUUCUAGUCCAGCAGGUUGUAUUUUUUAAUGAGUAAGCCAGGUGAUUUUUGAUUUAGGUAGUAUGUAAACAACAGUUUGAGAAAUACUUCUGAGUGGAAUUGAAGAAAGCCAAUAAGAAUAUGUGAAUGACCAAUAAAUAAAUAUGCAAAACUCACUUAAAUUGAUAUGCAGUAUACUCAGAUUAUUUUAAAAAUUGCCAAACUUCAAAUAUUUUACUAUUUUUUUGUCUUUAAUUCAAUAGCACAUAGUGCUUAUUUCCAGAGUAUGUUUGGUAAACUAGUACCUGCAGAUGUUCCAUGAUAAAAGAGAGCUUGAUCAAAUAAGUUUGUGAAAUGUUAUAUACUUUAUUCCAUCCGUAGAGAUUUACUUUGCAUGUUAUCAUAAUACUCUUAGAAGUUUUGCAACAAAAAGCCUUGGACCUCAUUGUUUCCCAAACUUAAUUGACCAUGAGCCCUCCUUUCUUGCCCCUAACGAUUUCUUUUUCUUUUUU